rnacentral:lncRNA from 1 species
CCCAGAUUGGAAACCACUGCGGUGAUCCCUUUGUUGGUUCGACCACCCCAGGGCUUCCCUAUAAUUUCCAAGCUGGAAGUGACCUGCAGCACUGGUUCGGUGAUCCGCCUUCUGCCUCCCUCUGUAUUUUGGGACAACGUCAUUAGCUUUGAGCAUCAGGAACAUGACAGAGAGAGGACAGAAACCCGGUGCAGCCGAGGACAGCCAGCUGAGCCCUUGCUGAGCCAGCGAGAUGCAGCGUGGUGCCACCACAUCUGGUCUCCAGGAAUCCCAGGAGCUCAGACGUCCGUUGUCUUGUGACUUCAUGCCCCCCUGUGCUGCGCUCACGUGCUGGGCCUGGGCAGAAAGGCAACCCAGGAAAUCCAUUAAAGCAAGCCAAGACGACCUUUGCAGCGUAACCCAACGAUUCCCUAAUAAAUCAUGUUUCCAAGGCAGAGCCACUUAUUCUCCCGGGCCAUGAAUUGCCGUCUGGGUCUAGCACUUUGGGUCGGCUCAAGCUUUGUGCCGUGGCUCCCUGGGGCACAGUACAGGAUGGUGGACUCCCCUCGCCUGGUCUGUAGACCCCAGCAUUUGGAAGGGCACAUGGUGGCUCCUUGCCACCCAUCAGAUGCUCCAGGGGCAGGACCUGCUCUGGCAACCCAGCAGGUUCAGGCAGGAACUUGGCACAGGAGCUGGUCUCAGGCUGCCGCACAGGCAGGGAAUGACUACGAGUGACCCCGAGGCCUCUGGAGACCAGCCAGACGGUCCAGCCUGGCUCUGCAGCAGAAAACAAUUUGUCACACGGACUGUCAGCAAACAACCAUGGCGGACUUCCCUGGAGGCGGAGCCCUAAACCCUGCGAGAGCCUCAUGGGAAAUCACGACUUCUCCGUGCCCGUCGCUGUCAGCACACAGAUCUGCCUGCUGGUUUCCAUAAGCACUUGGUCAGAGCAAACAAAGAUCUUUCAUCAUCUGCUCCACGAACUCCCUUGGUGACCUGGAACCCAGCUGCUGCUGUCCGAGAGGAAGGAAGACAGCACAGGGGCAAACAUAGCAAGCUGGAAAAUAUUUACCUCCUUCUCAACUGACCGACAGAGCAGAGGUGGCCUAUGAUUUACAAUGCUUUUCAGUGAGCCAAAUUAUAAGCCAAGCAACCAUCUUCCUGUCUCAAGUCACUAAUAGGGAAUACUUCUACUCUGUAUGAUACCAACCUGGGGACCCAAGAGAUGGCUGUUGACUGUAAGAAGCCCAUAUUUAAUGCCAUGUGAGUGACAGGAAGCCGGGUCUGGAGUCCCAAGGACCUUUCGGCUCUGCUGCUCCUACGCUGGGUCGCCGUGCACAAAUAACUUACCUUCUUCCAACAUCCUCUUCUUCGUCUGUUUGAGGGUCAUAUGCCUACUUGACAGUUUUGCUCUGACAACCAAAUGAGCUAAUGGCUGGAAAAGCACCUGAACACUGUAAGAUUCUUUCCACGUGUCAGGAUCCUUGUUGUGUUUGUAAAAUGCAGUUCCUUCGACUUAGGUAUUUCACUGAUGGUUGUCUUGGAGUGCACUCUGCCAUAAGGACUCAUUGAUUUACCAUUCUGCAUAGCUUCCAUCCAAGAUGGGUGAUGAAGGGAUGAUAGGAUGAUGGUUUUAAAAAAUCAUUGUAGUAGUUAUCUUGAUAUUAUAGAGCUGCUGAAGAAGCUUGGGCUAGGAUGGAGUUCCCAACCUGCACAAAAAGUUGUAUGCAUGUGAACUCUUUCCUAGGGAGAAGGAGCAUGGAUUUCAUCAGAUUUGCAAAUAAGACUGGUAGACAAGCACCCUAGUAGCCAAGCACCCCUAGUCUCGGCAGAAAGGACUCUGUCCGGAAACCCGGAGACGGACUCUGCCUCCAACUUGCUGGCGACUUUAAGGCUGUCCCUUGGCCUCUAUCUGCCCCAGCUCCUUAUCUGUAAAAUGGGUGUGGCACAGUCUUCCAGUGGCUGAGUUCCUACUGAGGGGCAGGCUCUGGCCAGACAGGAAGCUUCCACACCCAGCCUUCUUGCUUCCAGAGUAAGCGAAGAGCUCUUCUUCUCUCAACUUGUGUCCAUGAGUUGCGCCCAACUGACCACAGCACCCCAAAGUGCCCAGGCAUGCAGCCUCAUUUCAGCUCCUUUUGCUCUGCAGUUAAAGAGCAUCGCGGCCCAGUUGCUGUGCUUGGACCCAGGGAGUCUGCUUCCCUGUAAACUGCCGGGCUGUGAGGCCCGCCUACGCUGGCAGCCAGAGGCCUGACAGGGACCUGUGAAAUCUCAGCAUCGCCCAGGAAGAUGCAGUGAAAAUCCAGCUGUUGAGCGGGGAAACGUCAGUGAGCCACAUGUUUUCUUGCCCUGGCUGCUGUGAGACAGUGGGUGGUGACUGGAAGUCAGAUCUGGUGGUUGGAUUUGGCCAUGGGUGUCUCAGAUCUCCGCAGAACCUGGGGCAGUGGUCAGUGCUGGGUGAGCAACAGGCAGGCCCCAUAUCACAUUACAGACCUUAGAGAGUUUCCAUUCCACAGCGCGUACUGGCAGCCCUUGGGCCAGAUUUGGCCCACAAAUGUAUCAUGUUUGGC